rnacentral:rRNA from 1 species
AGAGUUUGAUCCUGGCUCAGAUUGAACGCUGGCGGCAGGCCUAACACAUGCAAGUCGAACGGUAACAGGAAACAGCUUGCUGUUUCGCUGACGAGUGGCGGACGGGUGAGUAAUGUCUGGGAAACUGCCUGAUGGAGGGGGAUAACUACUGGAAACGGUAGCUAAUACCGCAUAACGUCGCAAGACCAAAGAGGGGGACCUUCGGGCCUCUUGCCAUCGGAUGUGCCCAGAUGGGAUUAGCUUGUUGGUGGGGUAACGGCUCACCAAGGCGACGAUCCCUAGCUGGUCUGAGAGGAUGACCAGCCACACUGGAACUGAGACACGGUCCAAACUCCUACGGGAGGCAGCAGUGGGGAAUAUUGCACAAUGGGGGAAACCCUGAUGCAGCAACGCCGCGUGAGUGAUGACGGCCUUCGGGUUGUAAAGCUCUGUCUUUGGGGACGAUAAUGACGGUAUCCAACCAGAAAGCCACGGCUAACUACGUGCCAGCAGCCGCGGUAAUACGUAGGUGGCAAGCGUUGUCCGGAUUUACUGGGCGUAAAGGGAGCGUAGGUGGAUAUUUAAGUGGGAUGUGAAAUACCCGGGCUUAACCUGGGUGCUGCAUUCCAAACUGGAUAUCUAGAGUGCAGGAGAGGAAAGUGGAAUUCCUAGUGUAGCGGUGAAAUGCGUAGAGAUUAGGAAGAACACCAGUGGCGAAGGCGAUUCUCUGGACUGUAACUGACGCUGAGGCUCGAAAGCGUGGGGAGCAAACAGGAUUAGAUACCCUGGUAGUCCAUGCCGUAAACGAUGAAUGCUAGGUGUUGGAGGGUUUCCGCCCUUCAGUGCCGCAGCUAACGCAUUAAGCAUUCCGCCUGGGGAGUACGACCGCAAGGUUGAAACUCAAAGGAAUUGACGGGGGCCCGCACAAGCGGUGGAGCAUGUGGUUUAAUUCGAUGCAACGCGAAGAACCUUACCUGGUCUUGACAUCCACGGAAGUUUUCAGAGAUGAGAAUGUGCCUUCGGGAACCGUGAGACAGGUGCUGCAUGGCUGUCGUCAGCUCGUGCUGUGAAAUGUUGGGUUAAGUCCCGCAACGAGCGCAACCCUUAUCCUUUGUCGCCAGCGGUCCGGCCGGGAACUCAAAGGAGACUGCCAGUGAUAAACUGGAGGAAGGUGGGGAUGACGUCAAGUCAUCAUGGCCCUUACGACCAGGGCUACACACGUGCUACAAUGGCGCAUACAAAGAGAAGCGACCUCGCGAGAGCAAGCGGACCUCAUAAAGUGCGUCGUAGUCCGGAUUGGAGUCUGCAACUCGACUCCAUGAAGUCGGAAUCGCUAGUAAUCGUGGAUCAGAAUGCCACGGUGAAUACGAUCCCGGGCCUUGCACACACCGCCCGUCA